CGGAGGUAGCCAAGUGGAUCAGGGCAGG
rnacentral:tRNA from 1 species